AGCGGCGGAUGGGUGAGUAACACGUGGGGAACCUGCCCCUAAGUCUGGGAUACCAUUUGGAAACAGGUGCUAAUACCGGAUAAUAAAGCAGAUCGCAUGAUCAGCUUUUGAAAGGCGGCGUAAGCUGUCGCUAAGGGAUGGCCCCGCGGUGCAUUAGCUAGUUGGUAAGGUAACGGCUUACCAAGGCGACGAUGCAUAGCCGAGUUGAGAGACUGAUCGGCCACAUUGGGACUGAGACACGGCCCAAACUCCUACGGGAGGCAGCAGUAGGGAAUCUUCCACAAUGGACGCAAGUCUGAUGGAGCAACGCCGCGUGAGUGAAGAAGGUUUUCGGAUCGUAAAGCUCUGUUGUUGGUGAAGAAGGAUAGAGGUAGUAACUGGCCUUUAUUUGACGGUAAUCAGCCAGAAAGUCACGGCUAACUACGUGCCAGCAGCCGCGGUAAUACGUAGGUGGCAAGCGUUGUCCGGAUUUAUUGGGCGUAAAGCGAGCGCAGGCGGAAAAAUAAGUCUGAUGUGAAAGCCCUCGGCUUAACCGAGGAACUGCAUCGGAAACUGUUUUUCUUGAGUGCAGAAGAGGAGAGUGGAACUCCAUGUGUAGCGGUGGAAUGCGUAGAUAUAUGGAAGAACACCAGUGGCGAAGGCGGCUCUCUGGUCUGUAACUGACGCUGAGGCUCGAAAGCAUGGGUAGCGAACAGGAUAGAUACCCUGGUAGUCCAUGCCGUAACGAUGAGUGCUAAGUGU
rnacentral:rRNA from 1 species